rnacentral:rRNA from 1 species
AUUGAACGCUGGCGGCAGGCUUAACACAUGCAAGUCGAACGAGUGGCGGACGGGUGAGUAAUGCUUGGGAAUCUCGCUUAUGGAGGGGGAUAACUACGGGAAACUGUAGCUAAUACCGCGUACCAUAGGAUGAACCCAAGUGGGAUUAGGUAGUUGGUGGGGUAAAGGCUCACCAAGCCGACGAUCUCUAGCUGGUCUGAGAGGAUGACCGGCCACACGGGGACUGAGACACGGCCGAAACUCCUACGGGAGGCAGCAGUGGGGAAUAUUGCGCAAUGGGGGCAACCUGACGCAGCCAUGCCGCGUGAAUGAAGAAGGCCUUCGGGUUGUAAAGUUCUUUCGGUAGCGAGGCGUUAACUACAGAAGAAGCACCGGCUAACUCCGUGCCAGCAGCCGCGGUAUAC